rnacentral:rRNA from 1 species
CAGGCCUAACACAUGCAAGUCBAGGGGUAGAGGUUGCUUGCAACUUGAGACCGGBGCACGGGUGCAUAACGCGUAUUCAACCUACCUUCAUCUGGGGGAUAGCCCGAAGAAAUUCGGAUUAAUACCGCAUAAAAUCACAGUACGGCAUCGUACAAUGAUCAAACAUUCAUGGGAUGGGGAUGGGCAUGCGUCCAUUAGUUAGUUGGCGGGGUAACGGCCCACCAAGACCGCUAUGGCUAGGGGAUCUGAGAGGAUGGCCCCCCACACUGGUACUGAGACACGGACCAGACUCCUACGGGAGGCAGCAGUAAGGAAUAUUGGUCAAUGGAGGCAACUCUGAACCAGCCAUGCCGCGUGCAGGAAGACAGCCCUCUGGGUCGUAAACUGCUUUUAUUCGGGAAUAAACCUACUUACGUGUAAGUAGCUGAAUGUACCGAAGGAAUAAGGAUCGGCUAACUCCGUGCCAGCAGCCGCGGUAAUACGGAGGAUCCAAGCGUUAUCCGGAUUUAUUGGGUUUAAAGGGUGCGUAGGCGGCCUGUUAAGUCAGGGGUGAAAGACGGUAGCUCAACUAUCGCAGUGCCCUUGAUACUGAUGGGCUUGAAUACACUAGAGGUAGGCGGAAUGUGACAAGUAGCGGUGAAAUGCAUAGAUAUGUCACAGAACACCGAUUGCGAAGGCAGCUUACUAUGGUGUCAUUGACGCUGAGGCACGAAAGCGUGGGGGAUCAAACAGGAUUAGAUACCCUGGUAGUCCACGCCCUAAACGAUGAAUACUCGCUGUUAGCGAUAUACAGUUAGCGGCUAAGCGAAACGUCAAGUAUUCCACCUGGGGAGUACGCCCGCAAGGUGAAACUCAAAGGAAUUAACGGGGGCCGCACAAGCGAGGAGCAUGUA